AUUCCGGGAAUUGGCCACUACCUUGCAGUCACGUGAUUCAAAACCGCAAUCGGCACUAAUCCGGUUGUCUAAAUCCGGAGCUCAGUGUCCUUUUGUGGUUUUAGGUUCAAAUAGUUCAUGUGAUGUGACGUAGUGGAACAUGCCUGGAA
rnacentral:pre_miRNA from 1 species